GAGACAAUUAGACUUAGAACCACAUACUCUAAACUGGUUUGAUUUUGGAUUACUUAAACUGAGUUUAAAUCUUGAUAUAGUACUUCAUGAGUUCUGUUUCAGGUUGAUGUAGGCUGAAUCAUUUUGUGCUCGUCGCAAACAAGUUGGCCGAAGUGUUGAUCAACGCUUUUGACUAGGCCAAGGAGGUUCACUAUCUGAAAAUAUGCUAUAUAAUUGUUCCCGAUAAAAUUGGACAUGAGCAGCAAUGGCCUUGCAAAUGGAGGCCAAAUUCCUUAUAAUCUUCCUCCGAACCUUAAUCCAUUGGGAUGUAAAGACUUAAAUAGGAGAAUGCGGCCAAGAUGGCUUUGAUAUAUGAAUCUUUUGGAACAGAUUUGUACUUGUGAAUUGAUCAUAUUUUGAUGGUUGUGA